rnacentral:rRNA from 1 species
GUAGGGAAUAUUGGGCAAUGGAUGCAAGUCUGACCCAGCCAUCCCGCGUGCCGGAAGAAGGCCCUCAGGGUUGUAAACGGCUUUUGACGGUGAAGAAUCGACAGGAUGCGUCCUGUUUUGACGGUAGCCGUUGAAUAAGCACCGGCUAACUCCGUGCCAGCAGCCGCGGUAAUACGGAGGGUGCGAGCGUUGUCCGGAUUUAUUGGGUUUAAAGGGUGCGUAGGCUGGAAGGUCAGUCAGCGGUGAAAAGCUGUCACUUAACGAUAGUCUUGCCGCAGAUACUUCCUUUCUUGGAUGAGGAGGAGGCCACUGGAACGGAUGGUGUAGCGGUGAAAUGCAUAGAUAUCAUCCAGAACACCGAUUGCGAAGGCAGGUGGCUGUACCUUAAUCGACGCUGAUGCACGAAAGCAUGGGGAGCAAACAGGAUUAGAAACCCGUGUAGUCC